rnacentral:lncRNA from 1 species
CACGACUAUACUGUAUGCCAGCCUAAGUAAAUAUUGUGAAACAGCUCGGUCGAACAUUUAUGGGCUUCCCUCUCGAGUAUUGGCGUUAGCACUCAACGAGUUGUUGUUUUGACUGUAGCAAUAUAACACGCGGCAUGUACUGAAUCAGAAUAUGCAAAUUAGAACAUGUCAUGUUGAUUUUUGCCACUGAAUUUGUAAAUGAAAUACGAUAUCGUAUGUGGCGUUGUUGUUUAUACUGUCGACACUGGCAAACAUAUUUUUAUAUGAACGAAUAAAAAGAGAAAUUCAUGCCAAUCGCUUCUUCAAUUCAAAGGUAAGACUGUGGUUUAUCCUAACUUGUUGCAGAUAUUUUGUCAAGGAUGUUUAUUCCUUUGCGGAUGCCUUAAUCAAACGUCUUUUACUUUGACGGCGUUGCGCUGUUAUUUAAUAGCGGAUAUGAAACCGAUUUUCAAACAACAGUCGAUGCCUACUAUCGCGACUUUAUUGCUGAAAACUAAGUUUAUAAUAAUGUCAAUGAUGAUCUUAUGAAAUGAUGAAAGGGCGAAGGUAGAACAAAGCCCAUUCUGUCCUUACGAACAAAUUCCUUGCUUCAAUAUAAAGAAGUUUUACUUUGUCUUAGAAAGCAUUCAAAAUCAGUAUUUUGAUGUUUCUUUACUAUAUAUAGGCCGUUGUAUAUGGACCAGGCCAAAUUAUGCUCGAAUGUAUCGUUAUAAUUUUUUUAUAAAUACAUAGGCUAUAUGUAUAUAUGUUAUAAAAUAUAAUAAUAUAUUUCCAAAAUCUUGCAAGCAUUUUAAUCAGUGCCAAAUAUGUUUUAAAAAUUAGGCGUUCGUCAGGUUGUUUAGCAACUGUUAGUGUUUUCAGAUAAAUUUCAAUGAUGGGGUAGUUUAAAUUGUCAUAUAUAUACAUAGUAGAUUCAAUCAUGUCAGUGUAUUACAGUAAUUCUGACUAUCCUCACUGACGUUGAUACUGUUGUGUUGUACAUUUUUAAUUUAAGGUUAUACAUUUUUAAUUCAAACGGCCUGUGAUGGCAUGGCCGGUAUAGGUAAUAUAUAACCGGGGAGCGUUGUUUGCCUAAGGCUGGAUAUUUAGCCACGCAAUUAUCAAAUUAUAUGAUUUAGCCUAAUCUAUUAGCAUUUUCUUGCCGUUACUCAUGCAUGCAUGCGAGAUCUCACGCAUGUAAUCAGUUGCAUCAUGACAUAUACACAUGUACCCUGCCUCUAGAAUAGUGAAAUUUAUUGAAUCCAUUUGAUCGAAUGCGGUACAGCUUCUACAUUUCCUGGUUAAACUGAAACGGAUUUAUUUCGAAUGACAGUUUAAACGAUAAGUUGGGAACUGUACUUCCAUACACUAGUUAAGGUUACAGAACACCUUUGAGUGUUAAUUUUGCCUAAAAUUUUUUUUAUUGGUUUCAAUGAAAGCAUUAGACUAGUUCUACUAUCUGACCAAGUUUGAACGAAAAAUGUUGAAAACUCGCAGAGUUAUUUAGUAAAAUACAUUUCGCUGCAAUAAGAAAAACAUUGAAAAUGUAAUAUUCAAAUUCAAUUUUCUCCCGAAACAUUUUACGGUAAUUACUGAUUUUCAAACGAGUUGUGCUCCUGCGGGUUUUAACCAAUUCAGUUCUCAAAUUUUCACAGGACAUAGCUAAAUACGUCAGUUUCAAAAUCGUGUUCGGCUUUUUUUUAGUUUUGGAUAUUUUAAAAAUAAAGAGCAAUUCACUCAAAGAAUUCAGAAAUAUAUUGCAGUCGUCAAAGAAAUCGCCAUAUCAGCGGAAUGACGAAAUAAACAAAAAUUUCCGAACACAAUUUUUUAGAACAACUAUUUUACUGUAUAAAAAUUAUAUUUUCAUAAAUAUAACUUAAAACCAGCAGGAGCACAACUCAAAAGCGCAAAGGUACCGCGAUUUAAGAUUUUCCUGAAUAAUUCUUACAUUAUUUUAUUGUUUAUUAAUUUUACAACUUUACCAUAUUUUGCAUGCACUGGAAAACAUUUGGUGAAAAUUUGAUGAAAAUCGGACUGAUAUUGAGCGCGCAGUAGCGAUUUUCCGCUAAACGCCAAAAAGGGUGUCCUGUAACCUUAAUUUAAAGGCCAAAGUAACAAAGAAUAUAGUAAUUAAAAUCAUGCACCGAUGCCUGUCCUUUCAACUUGAAGCUGUUAUUAACUUAUUAUAACGCCAUUUCGAUAAUGAUGAGGAUACAAAACCUCAGUUUAAUUACAUAUACGUAUAUUUUAGACCUCCAAACCCGCGGUUUUCCACUAGCGAAUUUUCUCGCGCGAAGCGACCUUUUUCCUUUGUCGGCAUAACCUUAUUACGUUAGCAAGACUUGGCAAAAUGGAUGCCGAAAAGGAAAAAGGUCGCUUCGCGCGAAAAAAUUCGCUAGUGGAAAACCGGCUUAAGGUCCAAACACACCGCACGCGAUUCGACAAUGCGACUCGAUUUUUUAGUUUUUGAAAGUUAAUAAAAUAGCCAGUGAGCAAAUUUUGAAAGAUAUGUAGACCAAAUAACUCAAAAUGUUAUAGCGCUUCUAUAUUCGGAAAAUUCAAACUAGGAUCAAAGACAUUCAAACUUAUCGGUCGGUGAAAAUCGAAAAAUCGCGUCGCGUUGUCGAAUUGCGUCCUGUGUGUCUGGACCUUUCAAGGUCCAUACAGACCGAACGCGAUUCGACAACGCGACGCGAAUUUUCAGUUUUUAAAAACAAAUAAAACCGUCAACGGAUAAAAAUUUUACAAGAUAUGCAGACCAAAUAGCUAAAUUUGCUCAAGUGGUUCCGAAUAUUUGAAAAACAUAGAAAAAUAUUGAAGUUAAAUGUCAUUGAAAAUUGAAAAUUCGCGUCGAGUUGCCAAAUCGCGUCCGAUUUGUAUGGACCUUAAAGGUGAGGUCCACGUGCACUAAAACCGGACGCGAUUCGACAACGCGACGUGAUUUUGUUUGAUUUUGUUUUUUUAAAUUUUCCAAAUAUUUAGAAGCGUUACAACAUUUUGAGUUAUUUGGUCUACAUAUCUUUUAAAAUUUCCUCUCAUUGGCGCUGUUUUAUUAACUUUGAAAAACUAAAAAAUCACGUCGCGUUGUCGAAUCCCUUCCGGUGUGUCUGGACCUUAAAACCUAUUUUCCACUAGCGAAUUCCUUCGCGCGAGGCGAAUUCUUAUUGUUAAAAUUGAAAGGAAUUGGUUAAAAACCUAAUUAGUUCAAGCCGAGAGCUGCAACGAAACAGAACCCCCUCCAUCCGAUCCAGGAUAGCAUGGAGCUUAUAAGACAAACGAUUCGCGCGACAGAUUUCGCUAGAGGAAACUGGCUUAACAGGACGAAUUCGCGUGUAAACAGGCGAAAAAGGACGAAUUUCAUCCCGGUCCCAAAUUCGUCCGGCAUCGUGGGAUUCAAAAUAGUCUACGUGGCAGGCCCUCAAUUUUAUGGGGGGGGGGGGCUGAUUUGCAGCGGGAGGAUUCGCCCGUGCCCGCCAAAAUCCUGCCCGCUGCAAAUCAGGCCCCCCAUAAAAUUGAGGGCCUGCCACGCAGGCUAACUCUCAUCAACUCUCAUUAUACGUUCUGAUCAUUAAUUUCCAUAGCAUUAUAAAAGUGCAUUUAUAAUAUUUUACCAAGCCUUUUUUAAGUUUUCGAUUUCAGUGCUCCUCCUUUGUAAUCCGGCAGGACUUGCACUCUUGCAGUUCAUAACAGGUUUAAUAGAUUCAGCAGAAAUUCCCAUAAAUUUUCGCGAGCAAACAUGCGGAAUUACCGCUUUGAACACUCAGAAAGAAAUAUAUUACUUGCAUGUUUAGAACAGCCAAACAGGAUAUAUACUGUCAUCGGAUAUAUAUUGGACUGUUUUCCUGAAAUUUAAGUACUAACUCUUGAAAUUCCUUUUCAAUGACAAUGGCACAUAUUAACUACAGUAAAAGCGGGUCUGAUUUCAGGCAUUUUUCUGUACGUGCGUGUAUAUAUACACGGAAUUCCACUCCAUUUAAAUGUUACUUACGAAAUGAUUGAAUGAAUGAAAAGACAGCAUUUAGUUUUGUGCGUGAUUUCACGUGUAUUUGUUGAUGUAAGUAGUAAUUUUAUAAAAUUUAGGAAAAUUGAAACUUCUCCAUGGCUAUGCGUAUACGCGCGUAUGAAAGACGCUAUAUAUAUAUAUAUAUAUAUAUAUAUAUAUAUAUAUAUAUAUAUAUAUAUAUAUAUAUAUAUAUAUAUAUAUAUAUAUAUAUAUAUAUAUAUAUAUAUAUAUAUAUAUAUAUAUAUAUAUAUAUAUAUAUAUAUAGCGUCGGUACAUAUACAAAGUUUAUUGAGUACGUUUUAUUUAUUUUUAACCUAUAGCUACAUCGCGAACUAAUACAGUAGAGUGGUAAAUACUAAUUCGUAGGACUACUAGCAUUGUUCUCGGUAAACCAGUUUAUACCUCAAUCUUCUUUAUAGCUAGCUAUAAUAGAACAUUUUAAUCUGAUUCAGACCCACGGGAAUUAAAUGUUGGAAUUCUUAGCUAUACAUUAUAUAUAUAUAUAUAUAUAUAUAUAUAUAUAUAUAUAUAUAUAUAUAUAUAUAUAUAUAUAUAUAUAUAUAUAUAUAUAUAUAUUAAUUGUUUUAUAAUGUAAUCUAAUAGCCAUUAACUGAAGCAAUAAUUAAUUAUCCUCUGUUGCAAUGUCUUGAUAAUUUGGCUUUGAAAAUUUGAAAUACUUUUCUUUAAUUUAAUUAUAUAUAUAAGAAAUAUGUUGGGAGAACACGAGAGAAGCGUGUAAAAAACGAGGCGUAGCCAAGUGGAUACAAGAGCAUAGCAAACGGUAAUGAAAUCACGUAUCUAUUUAAAAUUCAUUUUCAAAAAGGAUGUAAAUAUUUGUAGUUUAAAGGUCGACGUCGUGAACCUGAAGUGGAUGUUUAUUUAUUUAGGACGAUGUCCUAUAUUCGCACACCUCUGCUAAGCCCUGAUGUCCUACUGAUAUCAUGACGUGGACGUCGUAGAACUUAUAAGCUAUAUAUUAUCUAGCCUAUGUGGCGAACGGUCUUCUUAGGAGACGGAGUACACAUUAUCAUGCAGAGUAAAAUAUAAGUAGGAUAUUCGUAUCCGAUGUAAAGGGGCGUAAUUAUCAGGUCAUUUAAUAUUAUGAGAUUCUAUGGAUUCGGUCAUUUAAUAUAUUUGCAUAAUUUGUAUCAGUAAACUCCAAACGAUUAGCUUGUAUUUAACAGUUCAUUUAAUUUAUAAUAAUAUGCGAUUUUGUGGAUUCGUGCAUGCAUUAACUACAUUCACAAAUUCACAAUAUUAAUUAAACUCCAGCUGUGCACUUCGUGCUUGUCUACACUAUAUAGAAGCCUACAUUUUAUCUUAAAUUUGUUAAAAUUCGGUAUCUAUAAUUGUUUUUUUGGAAAGGGGUAUAUUUCAUUUGGAGAGGUAAGCAUACUAGUUGUAACAGUAUAUAUGUUGAAGGACGUUGAGAUUCAUUCUUCCUUUCACUGUUCAGAGCUUCAGGUAUAAUUACUUCCCUAAUUCAAGUACCACAGCCCACACUGAUAUUUGCCUGGUUCCAAUACCCAAAUGAACUAACAACCCAAGGAGAGCAUUGAUAUGGGAAUAUAAAUAUAGAAUAAAUAUUUCUGAGUGCAGUAUAUAGUCGUUACAAUCGGAUCAGAUAAUAUUGCUCUAUGUAGUUGUAAACUAAUUGGCGCCACUAAGAUAUUCGAUUACAUGGACCGGGCGGACUAUAAUAAUCUUAUAUAACUUUUGAGUUUCGAUUAUAUGGCAGCCGGGCUCGGUCCAACCUGCUUUGUCGAUGAAAAUAUUUUUUUCUAUAUUCAUUAUUUAUUCACAAGCGAUUUUCAAGGCGGCAACUGACGUAUGAUUAUUUUACAAUGAAAAUAAGAGCAUUAUGCUGGGCUCUUAGUCUCAUUAUAUAAUAUAUAGCGUGGCAAAUCAAGUCCUUAAGUUACUAUACGUGCCCAUUAACAUGAGUUGAAACGUUGUUUACAUGUACUAAAAUGCUUAGAAUGCUGACAUAGUCAUAUUUAAUACUGACCUAUCUGUGCCAGUUUGGUAGUGCCAAUAUUAUAACAAGCUUUCGUUGGUAUAUAGGAAUGCAACUGCCUGAAAAAUACAAGGUGAAAUUUGACGUUCCUUCGCUCGAAACGUCGAAUUUCUCCAGGUAUUUUUCAAGUUGGAUUAUACCCUACAAACGAAAGCUUGUUCAUACUUAAUAUAUACGUGCUGCCAGAAUUGGUAUUGAAAGACUUUUUCUGCGAACUAUGGUGAAAAUGGACUAAGAACUGUGGCUAUGUUUUCGACUUUCAAUACGUUAAUUUCUGAAAAUAUGUUGUCAUCGUUUUAUCUUUGUCAAAAAAUGUUUAGUUACAUAACUUAAAAAAAGAACUAGAUUAAUACCCUACAGUCCAGAGCUCUCGCUCAGUCGAUAUACAGGGUGUCCCAAAAAAAACGAAAACUAUUGAAAUCACUUAUUGUUAAAUUUGAAUGCCCUACUAAACAGCUGGACGUAAUGAUGCGUAAAAUAUUGAGAAGGUGCAUGUAUUAGAAUUUAGUUAGGAAUAUCUCCUGGUAAAGUGCUCGAUUUUCUGCUCCUGGGAAUUAAAAACAGCUUCUUAAACAGUUUCUUUAUCCAUAAAAUUUACUUAUGUCAAUCAUUUAUGCACUCGUGGGAACCAACAGAGCGCUAAGGCAUUCAAAUUCUAACAAUUAAAUUGUUAUUAGUGAUUUCAAUAGUUUUCGGGUUUUUUGGGACACCCUGUAUAACACGCAUGCAUAUAAUUAUUGAACAAUUAAGCUCGAGUCGUAUAUAGGCCUAUAGCUAUGAGCUGACGAGAGCGUUUUAUAAUAUAGUUUAAUAUAUCCAUUAACAGCAGCUAUAACAUAUUCUUCACUGUUGGUUAAGAUUGCCAAGUUCUUUGUUCCCAUUCUGAGUCCUAUUUGCUCUAGCACCUUCAUGGUUCGUGAUUCUUUCUCCUUUGUGCAGGAAUUGUUAAGUCUAGACUUUAAUCCGAUAAUCUUGCCGUGGCUAGCUUUGAUGUUAUGUCCUUGUUUACUAAUAUUAAUAUCCCGCUAGACGAAACCAUAGAAAUAAUUGCCGAUCGCUUGUUUUCGAAUGCCAUCUCACUCGCUCUGAAUUCAAACAACUCUUGAAUUGUGCGGUCAAGAACUGCCAUUUCUUGUUUAAUGGUUCCCUAUAUCAACAAGUAGACGGCGUAGCAAUGGGCUCUCCUCUUGGGCCUCUAUUUGCUAACAUUUUUUUAUCCUUUCACGAAACUACUUGGCUUGAUAAUUGCCCUACCAAUUUCAAGCCCUUAUGAUCGAUCGUCGAUAUGUAGACGAUACCUUCCUUCUAUUCCGUUCUAGGGACCAUAUUCCUCUUUUUCUUGCUUAUCUCAAUCGCCAACAUCCUAACAUUGACUUUACUUGUGAAGUUGAAUCCAAUUGUCAACUUUCCUUCCUUGACAUCACUAUUACAGGAACUAAUGGCCAUUUUGAAACCUCUGUUUAUCGUAAACCCACAUUCACAGGGCUUUUCACCAAUUUUCAGAGCUUCACUUCUCUACAAUUUAAACGUGGUUUAAUAUAUUCACUAUUACACCGUUUUUUUCAAUAUUUGCUCUAACUAUGAGAAUUUUCAUGCUCAGAUUGAGUUUUUUUGAAAAAUCCUCAACCAGAAUGGUUAUCCUACACGUCUCUUUGAUCGUUGUGUUCGACUCUUUCUUGAUAAAACCUUUCAACCCAAGGAAUUAAUCCAUUCUGUAUCAAAGAAAGUGGUAUACUUUUGUCUCCCAUAUACCGGAACACACACUCUCUCCAAAUCCGUACCCAAAUUCAACGCCUUUGCUCUGUAGCCUUCCCACAUAUAAGCAUCAGAAUCGUGUUUCGUCCCACUCUACGUUUGUCCAAUUUCUUCAUGUUUAAGGACAAAAUUCCCGCUGCUUUGAGGUCUUGUGUAGUUUAUUCUUUGUGUCGAUGCUGUUCCGCGUCGUAUGUGGGCCAAACGGUCCGCCAUCUACAUACACAAGGCUCUGAACACCUGGAUAUUUCUGCCUUAACUGGUAAGACGAGCAGCAGUCCUCAACUUACGAGCGUCUUUUCCUAUCUGAGCCACUCAGGUCAUACUGCUUCUCUUGAUGAUUUUAUGAUUCUAUCAUCCUGUUCCUCUCCAGAUUAACUUCUCGUCCGUGAAAGUCUUCUCAUCUCAAAGCUCAAACCUUCUUUGAAUCAUCAAGGUAGCUCCAUUCCUCUGACUUCUUUCCUUUAACUCCCCCCCCCCCCCCCACACACACACACACAUCCUCCGCACAUCCUCCGCAUUCCUAUUACCUUGUAAUUUGAUAUUGUAAAUAAUAAUUUAUUCAUAUUUGCAACUCAUUGUCAUACUAUAUUCAUUUACUCUGAAGAUGUCUUAAGUUAAAGACGAAACGUUAGUACUUCUCAAAUAAAUUUUAUGUCUAUAUUCUUGUCUAUAUGGCUCUUUUGCGUACGUUAUGCUGGGCAUUAAUUUUUAUAUUACGAUCACUGUGGGAAUGUUUGCUAGUUUGUUCGGCUAAAAUCCGCGCCGUUAAUUGGGCCUGAAAAUUUAAAAUGUUGUUGUUUCAAAACUCGAAGUUAAAGAAUUUCCUGUAUUUUCACAGAAAAGUUGAGAUAUUAAUUAGCCUAUAUAGAUAUGUUUGGUAGUAUAACUAGUGCUUGUUGACUGCAAAUUCAUUUACCUGUCGUUGCGACCUUUCCUGAACAAUUUUCUCAAUGAGCAUGUUUUUGUAUCUGCGAAUGCAGAUAGGCUAUAUCGCUAUCGUGCGCGUACUGGAAGUUUGUAUGCGUGCUUCUAGCCAAUCAGCGACAGCGUAUAGAUGAAAUGACGUAAUGAUAAUAAUUUCAAAAUGACGGUUUACUGAAGGGUGAAACACAGGGAUAUUUGUGAAUUUACAGUUAAAACUAGAAGUUACUAUCGCAAGGAAAGUGCUGCCUAACCCCCAAGGGAUCAAAGGCAGAAUGCGCAAUUUGCUGAAUAAGGGGCUGUUUUUAUGAUCCCGCUUUGCCAGGAUGAGAUAUGAGGCUGGAAUAACCGCGGGAUGAUUUAGAUGUAUUUCAAUAAGUCAUGGUGCACACUUCAGCAAUAAGUUAUUUCAAUACGUCCUGGUGCACACUUCGAGAGAUAGCAAUAGUUACCUGUAAACCACAGUUAAUAGAGUGUAAACUGAAAGGUUGUUCAAGCAGCAAUAAUAAACUUCUUGAACUACAAGAUGCUCUACAACAUUUGAGUUCUGUUAACCAUCAUUUGAACUUUCGUUUAGCCUGUUGACUUAUUUCAAUACAUCAAAAUCAUCCCACCUUCCAUCAUGUAAACAGCCCCUACAAAGAUGCCUGUUCAGGAGGUAUUAUUAUUAUUAUUAUUAUUAUUAUUAUUAACAACUUUAUUGGCAUGACCUGUACAGGCAUUGCUAAAGUAUUAUGUAGAAGUGCUAUUAAGAGCACUGUCUAUCUUAUUAUAACAAGAACAAAUGUUAUGACUACUGUGUAGUUCAUAUUAAAUUAAAGAUUCUUAAAUGUAUAUAAUAUAUAGUAUAGACAAAAUAAUAUAUAUAUUAUAGUAAUUAGGGAGUAUCCCCAGGUUUAAGGCAUCCGUCUCUAAGGCAGAAACAUUUUGAAAUAAAGCUAGAAAAUAGCUCAAUUAUAACUAAGUCAUCGCAUGACAUCACAUGCGUCAAUAAGUUUUGUUUUGAAUCCGUUGUAAUGUUCAUCUGAAAAAUAUUUUUUAAUAUAUUGUUUGCAUUGUUCCUAAUGCUACUAUAACUUGGACACUCGAAUGCAAAGUGAAAUUCGUCUUCAACCGCACCAGUGCCGCAGGUUUUACAAUGUCUUUCAUCACGAGGUAUACUUUGGUAACGACCAUAUUCAAUUAAUAAUUUGUGAUUACUAAUUCUGAAAUUUGUGAACAUCCGUCUUUGGGAUGGAUUUUUUAUGGUAGUUAAAUAUUGUUCCAAUUCAUAUUUUUUUUAAAUUUACAGUAAAAUGAUAGUUUUGUGGAAUUGGUUAUUUGUUGUUUCCAAUGUAAAAUAUUGUUGUUUUUUAUGUUGUCUAAUAUUAUAUAUAUUUAUUUUCACAUUUUCGAUAAAAUUUCCUAAAUCUAUUGGUUCCUCAAGUAUGGGAUAAUGGGCUUUAAGUGUUUUAACAAUGUUAGAGUAAAGUGAUUUUUUGCCGUUCAUGUAUAGUUCUUUCGAGCUGUGGAAAGCUUGUUUUACUAUAGACGAAUCUGGUUGCUGGCAUAUAUAUUUAAUAUAGUUUAGUAUCCUUUUGAGCAUCGGGAACAACAAUAGAGGUAUAGGAAAAGUGCAAUUUGAAUACCAAACACCUUGCACAAAGUCAAAGGUCAGCUAAAUAUUCUAAUUCUACUUUCUUGGCAUGGCCCUUUUUAUAUAAAUACCUUCAAUGCUUAUAACUUCUUGCUUUUGCAUCCGCUAUAAUUAUAAUACUGUUAGUGGUGAAGCUAGCCUAGCAACAGGUCAUGCUCCGGUUUUUAAUGUUUGCAUUGCAGGUCUAUUAGUAUACCAUGAUCAGUUGCCAUUUAAGCUUGCCACUCAAUACUGUACAAUAAUACCAUAUUUAUAAACAAUAAUAAUACUUGAAUGAAUCCAUUGGACAUGUAGAAUUUAAUAACAAUUUCAUAUAUAGAAAUACUAAGUCAGUUUUUGUCCCAAUUAUCGUUUUAAUGGCACCUUCAAGGCCACGCCUAUCGCAGAACAACUGAACAAUCUGCUGAUUGGGGAGACAAAAUCUAUUUGUUGACAUUUUUGUUUAAUACGUCAGCUUCAGAAUUUCAUAUAUAGAAAUACUAAGUCAGUUUUUGUCCCAAUUAUCGUUUUAAUGGCACCUUCAAGGCCACGCCUAUCGCAGAACAACUGAACAAUCUGCUGAUUGGGGAGACAAAAUCUAUUUGUUGACAUUUUUGUUUAAUACGUCGGCUUCAGAAUUCAGAUGACACCAUUCUUUGUAAUGACUAAGAUUGUACACAGUCAGAACUGCAAAACUGUAUAAUAAGAAAGAAAUUGUGAGCUUUAUCGAAAAAAAUAUAGUAUACCCGGAAAUGUGGUGGCACAGCCAGGUGAAUAUAUAAAUGAAGGCCGGUUGGAUUAUUUCAUAUUGUGCUAACAAUGAACAUAUCUCAAAGGUAUAUUUUUACAGUCUGACCGUCACACCUUGUAACUGCAUGCUGGUAAGUUAAUAUAUGCAGACAACAAUCUACACUGGGUUCAUAGGAAUAUAUUUAUAUUAUAAAGCCUGAUUAUUAAGACGUGCAUACACAUACAACAUUCCACGUUACAUAGAGAUUUGUGUUGGAUAUGCUACAUUAAUUAAUAAAUUAAAUAUAUUUAAAGACCAUGUAAAGUCCGUUCUGUGCAUACGUUCUGCGCAGGCUUACAUUCCAAUGGUCGGGACCCGACCGUUGGAAUGUUAUUAAUAUUUCGCAUCUCUUGAACUUUCUUGAAUUGAAUCUCUAGUCUGUAUUCAUUUACAAGCAUAGCGAACCAGAAGAGUGUUAAAAAUUCAGUAUAAUAUAUAUCUAAUCAUAUUUUACAACUGUACCCGACCGCUGGAAUGUUAUUAAUAUUUCGCAUCUUUUGAACUUUCUUGAAUUGAAUCUCUAGUCUGUAUUCAUUUACAAGCAUAGCCAACCAGAAGAGUGUUAAAAAUUCAGUAUAAUGUACAUCUGAUCAUAUUUUAAAAAACUCAUUAAUAAUUGUGUUUAAAAAGCUCAUUAAUAAAGCGUGUCGUAUCUGUAUAUGUGAUACAGAUUCAUGUUGAUUUACAUAAACUUUAACUUUGAAUUUCUCGGCUUAGACAACGUUUAUUUUUAAAAUUACUUCGCCAAUGAACUCAUAAGAUGAGUCGUUUUUUAAGUCAUUUACAACAUUCGCGUCCGUGUUGUAUCGGAUAUACAAACUCUCGCUUUCGGCUCGAGUUUGUAUAUCCGAUACAACACGGGCGCUCAUGUUGUAAAUAGUACUUACAACUGUAGCACUGAGUUCAAAAUGUAAACAAAGUGUUUGUUUACAUUACGGACUUUACAUGGUCUUUAAAGUUAAAAUCUCUUAACCGUGUAGUUAUUUACAUUCAUGGCCAUAGCCAUAGGUGCGUUUUAAUAUUUGAUAUGUAUGACUAUGUAUAAGCUAGUAUAGCAUUUUAAAAGCUGAUAAACAGGAUCACACUCACAGACAUUUCUCAGCACUAUAUUAUCUCAUAUAUCAGUAUAUGUAAUGUUUUGGGCGAACAAAAUCGAACAAAUUGACAUACCUCUAAAAGAUCUCCCUUUCUCACAACACUUGAAUAUGAUAAGGCCAGUAUUUACACAAAAAAUGUCUUUGCUUCGCUCCUGGCCUCGUGUUUAUAUAUGCCACAAACGCACAAUGCUGCAGAUCGAAAUAUUUUUAAAUGCCAUUCUUGGAACGUCGUUCGCAGAUCGCUGAACAAAGUAUUCGGCAGUCAUCGAUUUGCUAUCGUAAACUCCUGGGGUAUGAUAAUGCUCCAAUGUAAUAUAAAUUCCUUACUGCAACAUCAUAAUAUGACGCCAAAAUGCCGACAAACACGCAAAAAUCGAGAUACGCUACAAGUGUAUAAAACUGUUGGCGGGAAAUUCAAAUGCGCUAUAACACAUUGUCAAGAAUAGGGGGCUGCCUUCGGCAGCAAUUAAACAUCAGACGCAGUCAAAACAACGUCAUUUUACUAGUUUGAAUAUGGCAAAGGUCGAGAAUGUAUUUUUUGCAAGCAUUUGAAGGGUUUCAUAAUUUAAUUCGCAGUGCAAACGAAAUGAUUCGCAAUUUUUAUAGACAAACAAAUUAUUGACUAAUGGCAUUGAGAUACUAUUAUGAAACUAUAAAAGUAAUGAUUCUUCCACAUAUUACCAUUGUAGGUGCAUAUCGAGUGUAAGUGUUGAUGUUUAUGUAGGCCUACUUCUCAAUUUAACAUUUUUAUUGGCGACUUUAAUUGAUAUAAAUUAGUUGAAUGAAACCAAUAAAAGGCCUUAUAUAAUUUCUUUAUCAAUGAUCAUAACUAUAGACAAUUGGUGUUUGCUUUCAUUACAGACAACCAGACUUUGAUAAAUCAUUAGCAGAGUCACAAGCUAAGUCACACAUAUUGGAAACAUUUCUCUGAGCAUAAAGCAGUAUGUGCAUUGAUUAAUUGCUUUCAUUAAAGCAAAGCCAAAGUAAUAGUGGCUGCAUAAAGAGCAGAGAUUCAGCUUCAGAUUGGAAUAUCAAUACUUAUAGUAACAGUUGCAACCAGUCAUAAUUAUCAACUUACAGUAUAUAACUAUAUAUCCUGGAGGGGGUUCUCUAUAAUAUAUAUUUGUGAUGUUUAUAAAAAAAUAUAUUCAUUUAAACAUCAGUCUCUUAAUAUUUUUACAAGCUACUGAGUAUUGAUUGAAGCCCUUGGCAACAGCGCAUUACCAUACCUUAGCGUACCUAUUUUUUCGCUGUUGUUUCGGUAUUAAUUCUUUAAUUCAAAAAAGCUUGUUUUUAAAUCAGUUUCUGGAAGAAAAUGUAUUCGACAAACCUGUCAAAAUGUUUUGAGAGUUUUUUCUUGUACUUUUAUCUUUCUCAAAGCCAAUAUUUUCCACUUUUCUGCUUCGCAACUGACUCUUCUUGUUUUUGGGCAGCGCCAUCUUGUUUUUAGCAACUCGCCAUAUAUAUGAGCUGUUAUUAUACGCUCACAUAGCUACCAUUGACCAUCAUGGGUCUUCAAUAGCAUCACGUGGCAGCUAUAUAUUUUACAAUGAGGACAGUUCAUAUUGGACAGUAGCUUACCGUGACUUUUUCCUGAUUUAUCAAACUUUUUCAUAUGUUUUGUCAAUUUGAAACACACAACAAACAAUAUGGCAAAAUAAUGAAAAGAAUUUGGAACAUUGUGACAUUUCUUGCCUACCGGUUUUGUUUAAAAUUACUACCAUUUGCGAGUUACCGUGAAGCGUGCAUUUAAUCACUACGUUUCAAAACCUUUCUUCAGCAUGAGUUUGUCAAUCAUAACUUUUUGUUUUGCCAUAACUUUUGUGGGCGUGGUGUCAAGCACAUUGUUUUGCACGCGAAAAUUUUUUUUUAUUUUUCACACGGACGCUUUUAUAUAUACUGACAAAAUUCCUUGAUUCCCUGACAAAUUCAAAGUUUUAUACCACGCCCACAGAAGUUAAUAAUAAUAAUAAUAAUAAUAAUUAUAUUUAUCCAGGAUACCCACAUCACUUGCGUGUUUUUCAGUGGAGUCCUGCAUCAAAAUUACAAUUAUUUACAAUAUUAAUUAUUGUCAAGAUUUAAAUUGUACAAAAAUAUACAAAUAUAUACAUGCACGUUACAACGAUGAUAAAUAGACCAUUUAUUUAUAAUUCAUAAAAAUGUAAUUUAAUUUAGUCAGUAAGCAUGCAACGUGCCUCAAAUGAUAGGAAAGAAUCAAUCAAUUGAGUAUCAGAAGUUAAGAUAAUAAUGCUCAAAAUUAAUUUAGGCGUAGAGACACGGUGCAUACCCGAACUAAACUGUACACAUAUAUUUAAAAUGUAUCAAGCAUGCAAUAACUGUGUCUAAGUACGAAGUAGAUUUAAUUGAGUCUUAAAUUGAGACAGAGAACUAACGUUUGCAACUGAGCUGUUCAAAUUGUUGAAGACCAUCGAAGCGUAGUAAGUCGGUCUAAGUUUACCCCAGUUCGUGUUGGCUUUUGGAAGAUGAAGGUUAUUAUUUUAGGAGCAAAACAAAACGUUUUGAAUGAAAACUCAUGCUGAAGAAACGUUUUAAAACCUAGUUAUAAAUGCACGGAAGCUCGAAAAUGGUAGAAUAAAAGAGCGGGAAAAGUUGUCUUCGCGAAAUUCAUUUCGUUACAACAAUAGUGAAGUUAGUAUAAUAUAUCCUUUUUUCAUUAAAGGUAAUUUGACCUAAUUUAAAAAUAAUUAUGUGGAAUUGAGUAUUUUACGCAAACUUGUUUUUAAAAACAAGUUUAUUAAUUUUUGUUUAGUUUUAAGCAAAUUCGCCGCCGAUGUGCACAUGUGAUAAUGUUAUUGCUGUAUUAUUCUCACUGUAUUAUAUUUGCUGUAUUAUUAUCGCUUAUAUGCAACUUUUUGUUAUAGAAUUGUUUUGUUCGAUAUAAUAAAACACUUAUUGGAUUCAUCUUCGCCCAAUAUGGCAAAAUAUUAAGUCUCGACUUGAAUAUUAGGCUCGAUCUUCAAUCUCGCCCAAUAUUUCAGUCUAGACCUAAUAUUUUCCCAUAUUGGGCCCAGCCUCAGUAGAAUCCAUGCCAGAUAUAAUAUAUGGCGCGCGAGUAGCUCCAAGAAUCAGAAUGCUGAAUAGUUCAUAGCUCAUAUGCGGUGGAUGAUUAUAGUUAUUUAUACUGUGUGAUUCAUUCGCAUCCAUGUAAUUUAAAAGUAAACCGAAACCAAUUUAGCAAGUAUUUUGAAGUAUAUAUAUUCUCAAAGAUGAUUAUACAGAACGGCCACUCCAAACAUGUAAUAUGAGACUUUUCCAUCCCCCUCUUAGGAUAUCAAUUUCCUAUGGGUCACGUGACCAGCUCCGAGCUCCGACCAGGGUCUUUCCUCCACAAGAGGGAAGAGCCUGGGAACGAGGUUGUCGCAUCCACAGAUUAUUUAGAAAAAGGUCAUCAAGUUUAGAUUGGUGUCAGAUAAAGACUACAGUAGAUUAGGGUUAUAUUAAGAUUAGGUUAGGGUUAGUCUUAGGGUACGUUAGGGCUCAACAUUAAUUGUGUCGCGAAUUUAUUGUAUUAGAGACCUUAUGAUUUAAGACAGCAACGCGUCAGCAACCGCUACCAAUACAAUAAAUUAUUGAAAAGAAUUGAAUAAUUACAAUAUACGAAUAAUUUAAUCAUUGUCCUCGCUCUGUUUACAACGCCAAAUCACAGAUUUUCACGUCCGGAUACAACGGCUGCAUUUCAAGCCUCACAACAAGUGCAACUUCAAACUAGGUUCAGCAUAGCCUACGGUGUAGACCCCAGCAGAAACACGUUUCGUGAAACGUGUUUCUGCUGGGGUCUAUACACCGUAGGUUCAGCAGAACUCCUCCCAAACAUAAAACCCAUGUCUUCAACUUCUAAGACAGUAUUAAAUUCAUACGUACGAUUGAUAAUAUACCACGAAGUAUCUUUACUACCAUUUAUUUGAAGGAGUUUGUUUUUGGCCGUCGUCGUCGCGUUGCCGUCCUAAAAUCGAUAAUAGAGACCUUUAUACGAUUUUACGACGGCAACGCGACGACGACGCCAAAACAAUCUCCUUCAAAUAAAUGGUUGUAAAGAUAAUUCGUCGUAUAUUAUCAAUCGUAUGAAUUUAAUACAGUCUCAUGUUGCGUUUAUAUGAGAACCGAGCUGGCCCGCCUAACCGAGGUCCCGCUUCAUGUGACCCGAGACCUCGGGUAAACGGGCUGGGUAGUUUUCCAUAUAAACGCAACAGGGAGGGCUAGCCCUCCUAGUAGGGCUGGAAAUUUAGGAAAUACGCAUGCGCAAAUAAUUAGAAUAAUUCAGAAUGCACAAACAACUCCCAUAUAAGGAACCAACUUCCAUAUAUGGAGUUGUUUACGCCAAAAAAAUUAGAACAAGAAGAGCCAGCCCUUCAUGUCAGUUUCAUGUAAACGCGUGGUGAAAUUCAUCUCGGGGAUGCGAGCCAGCUCGGGUACCCGGGCUGGCUCGCUUCCAUAUAAACAGCCCCUUAGAAGUUGAAGACAUGGGUUUUAUGGUUGGGAAGAGUUCUGCUAAACCCAGUUUGAAGUUACACUUGUUGCGACUUGAAAUGCAGCCGUUGUAUCAAGACGUGAAAAACUGUGAUUUGGCGUAGGGUAAGCAGAGCGAGGACAAUGUCUAAAUUAUUCAUAUAUUGUGAUUUUUCAAUUCUUUCCAAUGAUCUAUUGUAUUGGUAGCCGUUGCCGUCCUAAAAUCGUAAGGUCUCUAAUUUCUUAUUGAUAAUUUCGGACGUGUUUAAUUAACAAUUUGGUCAUAUAGUAAAUUCAAAGAUCAAGCUCAUGCUAGAGUAACUCCGGGUUUGCUGCAGCUGACAAAGUAUUUUGAUUUCAACCCGAAUCAGUAUCAGCCGUAUAUUUAAUUGAGGUUCAGACGUUCUGGCAUUUUAUAUCUCUAUCAUUAAACGCUAAUUUUCCGAGAUACAAUUCUGACCAGGGUUCUGGCUCUUUCCACAAUCAACGUUAUUUGGCAGGCAAAUUUGUGUAUACUUAUGGCUGUUUUUUAUACACGAAUGAUUUAGCUAAAUGUUGAUCCAAACGAUUCCAUUAUCGCCAUCAACAAAAAGUCUUUGAGUAUUAUAAUUAUUUAAUUAUUGCUCUUCAGGUAAUUUUCUGCCUACUUUAUCUUUCGUUAAACAAAUUUUAAAACAAAGGAACUUAUAUACUAGCUGUAUUUAAAUUGUAAAUUAUGAAUUGUGAGUUAGCAACAUCUCAAUUAAUGGCCAUUAAAUAUUAGCAUUAUAAGGCAACUCCUACUGACCUUUUUUAAUAACAUAGGUGUAAAUACUAACAUACAGAAUGAUGCUAACAACUGACAGUUUGUUUAAUUUAAUUUUCUCUUCUCCUUACAUACUCGCUUAUAUUUGAAUGUCCGACCGUUUCUAAUAGUUUGUAAAUAUACAUAUAACGCACUCUCGACUCUCAAGCUUUGUAUUCCUAUUUUCUUCAUCUUUAUUGUUAUUACAUAGUCAUAUGCUGAGCUAUUUAUCUUAACGUUUCUAUGUAUUAACAUGCUGUUUUGGGGAUUUACAGUCAAAAUACAAGAACCUUCCCAUGCAUGCACUUUCGCUUCUGUAACUUGUUUUGUAUUUCUGUAAUUUGUUCUAUUUUUCUGUAGCGACUACCGCUUUAUCGGCAAAUAUCGCGGUAUAGAUCCGGUAGAAUUUCGCGUCCUUCCAUUAUAUAUACGUCACUUUGUAGCAAUCAAUGAAUACACCUUUUCUUAGAUUCUUUGCAUGAAAGUUGCGAAACUUAGAUCUUAUAAAGCGAUAUUUGCUGAUAAAUCAUAUAUAGUGUGUUCAUACUAUACAAAUUAAAAUUACCGACUACCAUGCAUUUGACGUCCUAAAAUCAAAAUUUCGCAACUUUUAUGCAAAAAAUCUGACGCCGAAGGUGUAUCCUAAUUUGCUACAAAUUGACGUAUAUAAAGGAAAGAAAGGGAAAUUCUACCGCGAUAUUUGCCGAUAAAGCGGUAAUCGCUACAGAAAAAUAGAACAAAUUACAGAAAUACAAAACAAGUUACAGAAGCGGAAGUGGGAAGGUUCUUGUAUUUUGACUGUAAUUAUUUGAAUCAAAGUACGCAAAAUGUUCAUAAUAGAAGACGCUUUAGUUGGUAGCUACUCGGUUUAGGAGAGAAUUCCCGCUACUCACCGACCUUUCGACCUUUGUUAUCAUUCAUGGCAACAUGACAAAAUUGUAUUGUGAUUAAUUGUAUUAUUAAAUUAAAAUUGCAUUCCAAAGUUUUGAAAUACAAAUAUUUGACGAAACUCGCCACAAUUGACAUUUUCACUCAGGAACAUAACACGCGUAUACUAUUGAAAUUCUCGUAUAUACCUGCCUUUUGAUCAUUAUAUUAUAUGUAAAAAGCGCUUUAUAAAUUAUUAAAUUAUUAUUAUUAUUAUUAUUAUUAAGGCAUCUCAAGCCCGCAAGAAUUUCUGAAACGCUGGCCUAUAGUACAUGCACACACUGAUAGUAUAAGCUCUGGUCCACCCUUCUCCACCCCUCCCUACUGUCGCUACUAGCUAAAUUACUAAAUGACUUCCUAUAUUAGUCAGGGUCGCAUAUCAUAUAUAUACUAUCGUAUUUUCAACGAAUAAAUCACAGAUCACAAAUCAACGUUCGUUUAACCGUUUGUGUUCCCUUUUAGACGCAUUCUGGUGAUGUGAAGGUAAGGGAAAACAAGGUGAAGAACCGAUCGCUGAGGGUAUCAAUGAAACAAGACAAGACAACUUGAACAACAAUAUAAUUAAAUCCAAGCAUCUGCUUCGUUUUUGUGACUGAGAAAUUCCGCAGUUGUAAACACCAAAACUGCCAGCGUUUGUUUGUGUCUUCCCAGCAAAGAAAAUCCAUAGAAUGUGCUAGAGUGCGCAUAUGUAAUUUCGAGAACACGUUAAGGUGUUUUCAGGGACGUUAUCAAAUUGCUUCGUAUGUCAACUAUGCGAAGAGAAUGUUGACGCAAAGGCUGAGCCGUGUAUUGGGUUUUCUGGCGAUUGUGGCGACCUUUACAUUCAUAUCAUACGUCGGGAUAUACCAAAGAAAUGGGUUAUAUUCGCCAGGUAUGUACUGCAAAUAUG